rnacentral:rRNA from 1 species
GCAAUCUGCCCUGCACUUCGGGAUAAGCCUGGGAAACUGGGUCUAAUACCGGAUAGGACCUCAAGACGCAUGUCUUCUGGUGGAAAGCUUUUGCGGUGUGGGAUGGGCCCGCGGCCUAUCAGCUUGUUGGUGGGGUGACGGCCUACCAAGGCGACGACGGGUAGCCGGCCUGAGAGGGUGUCCGGCCACACUGGGACUGAGAUACGGCCCAGACUCCUACGGGAGGCAGCAGUGGGGAAUAUUGCACAAUGGGCGCAAGCCUGAUGCAGCGACGCCGCGUGGGGGAUGACGGCCUUCGGGUUGUAAACCUCUUUCACCAUCGACGAAGGUCCGGGUUUUCUCGGAUUGACGGUAGGUGGAGAAGAAGCACCGGCCAACUACGUGCCAGCAGCCGCGGUAAUACGUAGGGUGCGAGCGUUGUCCGGAAUUACUGGGCGUAAAGAGCUCGUAGGUGGUUUGUCGCGUUGUUCGUGAAAUCUCACGGCUUAACUGUGAGCGUGCGGGCGAUACGGGCAGACUAGAGUACUGCAGGGGAGACUGGAAUUCCUGGUGUAGCGGUGGAAUGCGCAGAUAUCAGGAGGAACACCGGUGGCGAAGGCGGGUCUCUGGGCAGUAACUGACGCUGAGGAGCGAAAGCGUGGGGAGCGAACAGGAUUAGAUACCCUGGUAGUCCACGCCGUAAACGGUGGGUACUAGGUUGUGGGUUUCCUUCCUUGGGAUCCGUGCCGUAGCUAACGCAUUAAGUACCCCGCCCGGGGGAGUACGGGCCGCAAGGCUAAAACUCAAAAGGAAUUGACGGGGGGCCCGCACAAGCGGCGGAGCAUGUGGAUUAAUUCGAUGCAACGCGAAGAACCUUACCUGGGUUUGACAUGCACAGGACGCGUCUAGAGAUAGGCGUUCCCUUGUGGCCUGUGUGCAGGUGGUGCAUGGCUGUCGUCAGCUCGUGUCGUGAGAUGUUGGGUUAAGUCCCGCAACGAGCGCAACCCUUGUCUCAUGUUGCCAGCGGGUAAUGCCGGGGACUCGUGAGAGACUGCCGGGGUCAACUCGGAGGAAGGUGGGGAUGACGUCAAGUCAUCAUGCCCCUUAUGUCCAGGGCUUCACACAUGCUACAAUGGCCGGUACAAAGGGCUGCGAUGCCGUAAGGUUAAGCGAAUCCUUUUAAAGCCGGUCUCAGUUCGGAUUGGGGUCUGCAACUCGACCCCAUGAAGUCGGAGUCGCUAGUAAUCGCAGAUCAGCAACGCUGCGGUGAAUACGUUCCCGGGCCUUGUACACACCGCCCGUCACGUCAUGAAAGUCGGUAACACCCGAAGCCAGUGGCCUAACC